rnacentral:rRNA from 1 species
GUGACCUCGGAUCAGGUAGAAUCCCAA